AACCGACACAGGUAGGCGAGGAGAGAAUCCUAAGGUGAUCGAGAGAACUCUCGUUAAGGAACUCGGCAAAAUGACCCCGUAACUUCGGGAGAAGGGGUGCUUCUUAGGGUGUUAAAGCCCCGAGAAGCCGCAGUGAAUAGGCCCAGGCGACUGUUUAGCAAAAACACAGGUCUCUGCGAAGCCGUAAGGCGAAGUAUAGGGGCUGACGCCUGCCCGGUGCUGGAAGGUUAAGAGGAGCGCUUAGCGUAAGCGAAGGUGCGAAUUGAAGCCCCAGUAAACGGCGGCCGUAACUAUAACGGUCCUAAG
rnacentral:rRNA from 1 species